rnacentral:rRNA from 1 species
AACGUAGGUGACAAGCGUUAUCCGGAUUUACUGGGCGUAAAGCGCGUGCAGGCGGCUUGGCAAGUCGGGCAUGAAAUCUUUCGGCUUAACCGGGAGAGGCUGUCCGAUACUGCUAGGCUUGAGGGCAGUAGAGGGUGGUGGAAUUCCGCAUGUAGUGGUGAAAUGCGUAGAUAUGCGGAGGAACACCAGUGGCGAAGGCGGCCACCUGGACUGCUCCUGACGCUGAAGCGCGAAAGCUAGGGUAGCGAACGGG